rnacentral:rRNA from 1 species
UGAGGAAUAUUGCACAAUGGGGGCAACCCUGAUGCAGCGACGCCGCGUGGGUGAUGAAGGUUUUCGGAUCGUAAAGCCCUUUUCUGCAUGACGAGCACAGGACGGUAGUGCAGGAAUAAGUGUCGGCUAACUACGUGCCAGCAGCCGCGGUAAAACGUAGGACACAAGCGUUAUCCGGAAUUACUGGGCGUAAAGGGCGUGCAGGCGGUUGCGUAAGUUAGGCGUGAAAGACUUCGGCUAAACCGGGGGAGGUCGUCUGAUACUGCGCAACUAGAGUAUGGUAGAGGCGUGUAGAAUUCCGGGUGUAGUGGUGAAAUGCGUAGAGAUCCGGAGGAAUACCAGUGGCGAAGGCGGCACGCUAGGCCAUAACUGACGCUAAGACGCGAAAGCAUGGGUAGCGAACGGGAUUAGAUACCCACGUAGUCCCUGAGCGGGCUGGCAAGGCGCAU